rnacentral:rRNA from 1 species
AUGAACGCUGGCGGCGUGCCUAAUACAUGCAAGUCGAGCGAACGGACGAGAAGCUUGCUUCUCUGAUGUUAGCGGCGGACGGGUGAGUAACACGUGGAUAACCUACCUAUAAGACUAGGAUAACUUCGGGAAACCGGAGCUAAUACCGGAUAAUAUUUUGAACCGCAUGGUUCAAAAGUGAAAGACGGUCUUGCUGUCACUUAUAGAUGGAUCCGCGCUGCAUUAGCUAGUUGGUAAGGUAACGGCUUACCAAGGCAACGAUGCAUAGCCGACCUGAGAGGGUGAUCGGCCACACUGGAACUGAGACACGGUCCAGACUCCUACGGGAGGCAGCAGUAGGGAAUCUUCCGCAAUGGGCGAAAGCCUGACGGAGCAACGCCGCGUGAGUGAUGAAGGUCUUCGGAUCGUAAAACUCUGUUAUUAGGGAAGAACAUAUGUGUAAGUAACUGUGCACAUCUUGACGGUACCUAAUCAGAAAGCCACGGCUAACUACGUG